rfam:Formosa sp. Hel1_33_131, complete genome.
ACGAUGAAGAGUUUGAUCCUGGCUCAGGAUGAACGCUAGCGGCAGGCUUAACACAUGCAAGUCGAGGGGUAACAGAGUAGCUUGCUACUGCUGACGACCGGCGCACGGGUGCGUAACGCGUAUACAAUCUACCUUAUACUGGGGUAUAGCCUUUAGAAAUGAAGAUUAACCCCCCAUAGUCUCUAAGAGUGGCAUCACAUUUAGAGUAAAGGUUACGGUAUAAGAUGAGUAUGCGUUCUAUUAGUUUGUUGGUGAGGUAACGGCUUACCAAGACUACGAUAGAUAGGGGCCCUGAGAGGGGGAUCCCCCACACUGGUACUGAGACACGGACCAGACUCCUACGGGAGGCAGCAGUGAGGAAUAUUGGACAAUGGAGGCAACUCUGAUCCAGCCAUGCCGCGUGUAGGAUGACUGCCCUAUGGGUUGUAAACUACUUUUAUACAGGAAGAAACACCUCUACGUGUAGAGGCUUGACGGUACUGUAAGAAUAAGGAUCGGCUAACUCCGUGCCAGCAGCCGCGGUAAUACGGAGGAUCCAAGCGUUAUCCGGAAUCAUUGGGUUUAAAGGGUCCGUAGGUGGAUAAUUAAGUCAGAGGUGAAAUCUUGCAGCUCAACUGUAAAAUUGCCUUUGAAACUGGUUAUCUUGAGUUAUUAUGAAGUAGUUAGAAUAUGUAGUGUAGCGGUGAAAUGCAUAGAUAUUACAUAGAAUACCAAUUGCGAAGGCAGAUUACUAAUAAUCAACUGACACUGAUGGACGAAAGCGUGGGUAGCGAACAGGAUUAGAUACCCUGGUAGUCCACGCCGUAAACGAUGGUUACUAGCUGUUUGGACUUCGGUCUGAGUGGCUAAGCGAAAGUGAUAAGUAACCCACCUGGGGAGUACGUUCGCAAGAAUGAAACUCAAAGGAAUUGACGGGGGCCCGCACAAGCGGUGGAGCAUGUGGUUUAAUUCGAUGAUACGCGAGGAACCUUACCAGGGCUUAAAUGUAAGUUGCAUUAGUUAGAGAUAGCUAUUUCUUCGGACCACUUACAAGGUGCUGCAUGGUUGUCGUCAGCUCGUGCCGUGAGGUGUCAGGUUAAGUCCUAUAACGAGCGCAACCCCUGUUGUUAGUUGCCAGCGAGUCAUGUCGGGAACUCUAACAAGACUGCCAGUGCAAACUGUGAGGAAGGUGGGGAUGACGUCAAAUCAUCACGGCCCUUACGUCCUGGGCUACACACGUGCUACAAUGGUAGGGACAGAGAGCAGCCACUGGGCGACCAGGAGCGAAUCUAUAAACCCUAUCACAGUUCGGAUCGGAGUCUGCAACUCGACUCCGUGAAGCUGGAAUCGCUAGUAAUCGGAUAUCAGCCAUGAUCCGGUGAAUACGUUCCCGGGCCUUGUACACACCGCCCGUCAAGCCAUGGAAGUUGGAAGUGCCUGAAGUCCGUCACCGCAAGGAGCGGCCUAGGGUAAAGUCGAUAACUAGGGCUAAGUCGUAACAAGGUAGCCGUACCGGAAGGUGCGGCUGGAACACCUCCUUU